rnacentral:rRNA from 1 species
UACGUAGGGGGCAAGCGUUGUCCGGAUUUAUUAGGCGUAAAGAGCGUGUAGGCGGCCGUACAGGUCAGCUGUGAAAACUCGAGGCUCAACCUCGAGACGUCGGUUGAAACCGUACGGCUAGAGUCCGGAAGAGGAGAGUGGAAUUCCCCGGUGUAGCGGUGAAAUGCGCAGGAUAUCGGGAAGAACACCCGUGGCGAAGGCGGCUCUCUGGGACGGUACUGACGCUGAGACGCGAAAGCGUGGGGAGCGAACAGG